UCAAUGUUAAAUUUCUCCUUGGACUAG
rnacentral:piRNA from 1 species